ACACGGAGUUUAAGGACCGCGUCUCCCGAGAUGCCAGAGGGACCUGCGUCCGCACUGCCCCAGUGUGACCCGCAUACCUACCGGCCCCGACCCCGAACCGCGUGGCGUCCGCCCGAGCCCUGGCGCUGCUGGGUCUCCUGCUGCUGCCGCUGCUCGCAGAGCCCAGGAAACUCUGCCCGCAGCUUAUGACGGUCAUUAACCAGUUUCUGACCAAGGACAAGGACACCUACAUGGACACUGUCAACAGAUACCACCUCACGGAGCCGGAAAGAAACACAUCCUCUAAACUCAAGGACUGCGUGACCGACACAAUGACCCCCGAGGAGACAGAGGCCGUCGUGCAGCAACUGGAAGAAAUCAACAACCAGUGUGCCGACACGAUACUGAAGUAACACCAUCCAUAGGCACCUCGGGUUCCUGUCCAGGCUGCCUGUCCCAACCAUGAGAAUCUGGGCCCAGGGCCCCACCCUCCCUAGCUCCCGCCCUGCUGCUGCCUCUACUCUCUCUCCUGCUGUGCUGAUUGGGGCAAGCCUGGGAACGGCUGCCCCCCACCUCCCCACCCAGGCCUGUCCCCUGCGGGACAAUGCUGCCUAAUAAACUCACCUGCAUCCA
rnacentral:lncRNA from 1 species